rnacentral:rRNA from 1 species
GACGAACGCUGGCGGCGCGCUUAACACAUGCAAGUCGAGCGAAGCGGCGGACGGGUGAGUAACACGUGAGUAACCUGCCUUAGACAUUGGGAUAGCCUCGGGAAACCGGGAUUAAUACCAAAUGGUCUAAGAUGGACUCGCGUCCCAUUAGCUAGUUGGUGAGGUAACGGCCCACCAAGGCGACGAUGGGUAGCCGGCCUGAGAAGGUGAACGGCCACAUUGGAACUGAGAAACGGUCCAAACUCUACGGGAGGCAGCAGUGGUGAAUAUUGCACAAUGGAGGGAACUCGGAUGCAGGGACGCCGCGUGAACGAAGAAGGCUUUCGAGUCGUAAAGUUCUUUUUUAUGGGAAGCGGUACCAUAACAAAAAACCCCGGCUAACUACGUGACAGCAGCCGCGGUAAUUC